GACGAACGCUGGCGGCGUGCCUAAUACAUGCAAGUCGAACGCAGUGGGGACGGGUGAGUAACACGUGGGUAACCUCCCAUCAGAGGGGAUAACACUUGGAAACAGGUGCUAAACCGAUACUGAUGGAUGGACCCGCGGUCCAUUAGCUGGUUGGUGAGGGAACGGCUCACCAAGGCCACGAUGCAUACGCAACCGGAGCGGGGGAACGGCCACACUGGAAGUGAGACACGGCCCAGACUCCUACGGGAGGCAGCAGUAGGGAAGUUUCGGCAAUGGACGAAAGUCUGACCGAGCAACGCCGCGUGAGUGAAGAAGUUUUUAGGAUCGUAAAACUCUGUGGUUAGAGAAGCGGUAUCUAACCAGAUAGCCACGGCUAACUACGUGCCAGCAGCCGCGGUAAGAC
rnacentral:rRNA from 1 species